AUUGAACGCUGGCGGCAGGCCUAACACAUGCAAGUCGAACGAGCGGCGGACGGGUGAGUAAUGUCUGGGCAACUGCCUGAUGGAGGGGGAUAACUACUGGAAACGGUAGCUACUACCGCAUACCAUCAGAUGUGCCCAUAUGGGAUUGGCUUGUUGGUAGGGUAACGGCUCACCAAGGCGACGAUCCCUAGCUGGUCUGAGAGGAUGAUCAGCCACACUGGGACUGAGACACGGCCCAGACUCCUACGGGAGGCAGCAGUGGGGAAUAUUGCACAAUGGGCGCAAGCCUGAUGCAGCCAUGCCGCGUGUAUGAAGAAGGCCUUCGGGUUGUAAAGUACUGUCAGUGGGGAGGCGUUACCCGCAGAAGAAGCACCGGCUAACUCCGUGCCAGCAGCCGCGGUAAUUC
rnacentral:rRNA from 1 species